AACAAACGCGAUUGGCAGCAAUAAUACAUGCAAGUUGAACGACUGGAUAUGUGAAGAUUGAGACUUUGGUUGAUAUCUGAUCAUUGAUAGCACGUAGCGAACGGGUGAGUAAUACAUAAGAACAUACCUUUUAGUGAGGAAUAAAAUUCCGCAUAAUCAUCGUAACACAUUAUGGUGACGACAAAGGCCUUCGGGUCGCUAAAAGAUUGGCUUAUGCUCCGAGAAAAGCUAAAGUGAGGUAAUGGCUCACUUAUUAAUAGUUGGAUAGCUGGUCUGAGAGGACGAACAGCCACACUGGGAUUGAGAUACGGCCCAGACUCAUUUUUGAGGCAGCAGUAGUGAAUAUUGGACAAUGGAGGAAACUCUGAUCCAGGUAUGCCAAGUGGGUGAUGAAGGCCAUAGAGGUCGUAAAACCCUGUCAGCGAAGAGGAAAGAAACGAGGAAACAUAUGACGUUACUCGCAGAUGGAAGUACCGGCUAACUCCG
rnacentral:rRNA from 1 species